GCGGUGGAUCAUUGUGUUUAAUUCGAUGAUACGCGAAGAACCUUUACCAGGUCUUGACAUCCCAUGCAAAGCUAUAGAGAUAUAGUGGAGGUUAUCAUGGAGACAGGUGGUGCAUGGUUGUCGUCAGCUCGUGUCGUGAGAUGUUGGGUUAAGUCCCGCAACGAGCGCAACCCUUAUUGCUAGUUACCAUCAUUAAGUUGGGGACUCUAGCGAGACUGCCAGUGAUAAACUGGAGGAAGGCGGGGAUGACGUCAAGUCCUCAUGGCCCUUACAUCCCGGGCUACACACGUGCUACAAUGGCAGGUACAGAGGGCUGCGAAGCCGCGAGGUGGAGCGAAUCCCAGAAAACCUGUCUCAGUCCGGAUUGAAGUCUGCAACUCGACUUCAUGAAGGCGGAAUCGCUAGUAACCGCGAAUCAGCAGGUCGCGGUGAAUACGUUCCCGGGCCUU
rnacentral:rRNA from 1 species